rnacentral:RNase_P_RNA from 2 species
GGAGGAGCGUACCCGAUCGCCGGUUGCAUCCCAGGGUGCAACGGGAGGAAAGUCCGGGCUCCACAGGGCAGGGUGCUGGGUAACACCCAGUCUCGGUGACGAGCAGGAAAGUGCCACAGAAAACAGACCGCCGAGCCUUCUCCCCCGGGGAGGACUCGGUAAGGGUGAAACGGUGAGGUAAGAGCUCACCAGUCCCGGUGGUGACACCGGGAGCUUGGUAAACCCCACCCGGAGCAAGGCCAAGUAGGGGAGCGCUGGAGGGUGGCCCGCCCGAGGCUCCCGGGUCGGCUGCUGGAGCCCGACGGCAACGUCGGGCCUAGAGGAAUGAUCGGGGCCCGCCCACUGCGGCGGGAACAGAACCCGGCUUACGCGCUCCUCCAAUC